rnacentral:rRNA from 1 species
GACGAACGCUGGCGGCGUGCUUAACACAUGCAAGUCGUACGGUAAGGCCCUUUCGGGGGUACACGAGUGGCGAACGGGUGAGUAACACGUGAGUAACCUGCCCACAACUUUGGGAUAACGCUAGGAAACUGGUGCUAAUACUGGAUAUGUGCUCCUGCUGCAUGGUGGGGGUUGGAAAGCUCCGGCGGUUGUGGAUGGACUCGCGGCCUAUCAGCUUGUUGGUGGGGUAGUGGCCUACCAAGGCGGCGACGGGUAGCCGGCCUGAGAGGGUGACCGGCCACAUUGGGACUGAGAGACGGCCCAGACUCCUACGGGAGGCAGCAGGGGGGAAUAUUGCACAAUGGGCGCAAGCCUGAUGCAGCAACGCCGCGGGCGGGAGGACGGCCUUCGGGUUGUAAACCGCUUUCAGCAGGGACGAAGCUUUUUGUGGCGGUACCUGCAGAAGAAGCACCGGCUAACUACGUG